rfam:Oryza sativa Indica Group cultivar 93-11 Ctg037571, whole genome shotgun sequence.
AAAAAGACAAACCCUGGUUUCCGUGUCCAACGUUUGACCGUUCGUCUUAUUUGAAAAAAAAUAUGAAAAAAUUAAAAAGAUAAGUCACGCACAAAGUAUUAAUCAUGUUUUAUCAUCUAACAACAAUGAAAAUACUAAUUAUAAAAAAAUUUUAUAUAAGAUGGACAGUCAAACGUUGGUACGGGAACCCACGGUUUGCCUUUUU